CCUACGGGAGGCAGCAGUGGGGAAUAUUGCACAAUGGGCGCAAGCCUGAUGCAGCGACGCCGCGUGCGGGAUGGAGGCCUUCGGGUUGUAAACCGCUUUUGUUCAAGGGCAAGGCACGGUCUUUGGCCGUGUUGAGUGCGUUGUUCGAAUAAGCACCGGCUACCUACGUGCCAGCGGCCGCGGUAAUACGUGGGGUGCAAGCGUUGUCCGGAUUUAUUGGGCGUAAAGGGUGCGUAGGCGGUUCUUCGCGUACGGUGUGAAAGUCCAUAGCUUAACGGUGGAUCCGCGCCGGGUACGGUCGGGCUGGAGUGCGGGAGGGGAGGCUGGAAUUCCGGGUGUAACGGUGGAAUGUGUAGAUAUCGGGAAGAACACCAAUGGCGAAGGCAAGUCGCUGGGCCGUUACUGACGCUGAGGAGCGAAAGCGUGGGGAGCGAACAGGAUUAGAUACCCUUGUAGUC
rnacentral:rRNA from 1 species